UGGGGAAUAUUGCACAAUGGGAGCAAGCCUGAUGCAGCCAUGCCGCGUGUGUGAAGAAGGCCUUCGGGUUGUAAAGCACUUUCAGCGGGGAGGAAGGCGGUGAGGUUAAUAACCUCACCGAUUGACGUUACCCGCAGAAGAAGCACCGGCUAACUCCGUGCCAGCAGCCGCGGUAAUACGGAGGGUGCAAGCGUUAAUCGGAAUUACUGGGCGUAAAGCGCACGCAGGCGGUCUGUCAAGUCGGAUGUGAAAUCCCCGGGCUCAACCUGGGAACUGCAUUCGAAACUGGCAGGCUAGAGUCUUGUAGAGGGGGGUAGAAUUCCAGGUGUAGCGGUGAAAUGCGUAGAGAUCUGGAGGAAUACCGGUGGCGAAGGCGGCCCCCUGGACAAAGACUGACGCUCAGGUGCGAAAGCGUGGGGAGCAAACAGG
rnacentral:rRNA from 1 species